rnacentral:rRNA from 1 species
ACCACAGAGAGAGCUUGCUCCUCUGGGUGACGAGUGGCGGACGGGUGAGUAAUGUCUGGGAAACUGCCCGAUGGAGGGGGAUAACUACUGGAAACGGUAGCUAAUACCGCAUAACGUCGCAAGACCAAAGAGGGGGACCUUCGGGCCUCUUGCCAUCGGAUGUGCCCAGAUGGGAUUAGCUAGUAGGUGGGGUAACGGCUCACCUAGGCGACGAUCCCUAGCUGGUCUGAGAGGAUGACCAGCCACACUGGAACUGAGACACGGUCCAGACUCCUACGGGAGGCAGCAGUGGGGAAUAUUGCACAAUGGGCGCAAGCCUGAUGCAGCCAUGCCGCGUGUAUGAAGAAGGCCUUCGGGUUGUAAAGUACUUUCAGCGAGGAGGAAGGUGUUGUGGUUAAUAUCCUCAACAAUUGACGUUACUCGCAGAAGAUGCGCCGGCUAACUCCGUGCCAGCAGCCGCGGUAAUACGGAGGGUGCUAGUGU